CGCCAGACUCCUACGGGAGGCAGCAGUGGGGGAUAUUGCACAAUGGGGGAAACCCUGAUGCAGCGACGCCGCGUGUGGGAAGACGGUCCUCUGGAUUGUAAACCACUGUCCCCAGGGACGAAGAUGACGGUACCUGGGGAGGAAGCUCCGGCUAACUACGUGCCAGCAGCCGCGGUAAUACGUAGGGGGCAAGCGUUAUCCGGAUUUACUGGGUGUAAAGGGGGCGCAGACGGCAAUGCAAGCCAGGAGUGAAAGCCCGGGGCCCAACCCCGGGACUGCUCUUGGAACUGCAUGGCUGGAGUACAGGAGGGGCAGGCGGAAUUCCUAGUGUAGCGGUGAAAUGCUUAGAUAUCACGAAGAACUCCGAUUGCGAAGGCAGCCUACUAAACUGCCACUGACAUUGAUGCUCGAAAGUGUGGGUAUCAAACAGGAUUAGAUACCCUAGUA
rnacentral:rRNA from 1 species